ensembl:lncRNA
AUUUUAUUAUAAUAAAAGGCAAGGGAUAGUGUUGACAACAUUUAUGAUCGCUUCUCAGGGCUCUGAGCUUACUUAUCUUUUUAAGAGCACUCGUUAAUUAAAAAAAAAAACAGGAGCAGUCAUUCAGCGAAAUUCGCCGCAUUUGUGGAGUGGACGCUGGCGAGAAAUGGAUCUCCGUUCCCCACCUGUUCCCAGGGAUUGAUCGCCAGUGCCACUCCGGACCCAGAUCCCAGCCCACCAUCUCCCCGAUGUGCGGAGCCCAUGCCCGAGCCCGCCACUGACAGAAAGCCAGAGCCCACCGCAACCGACAAGCCAUCACCACAUAGAGUGACAGAGCUGGGGACUGCCGUGGAGCCAGUCGCCCUGACGUCAGUCCAGGUGUGUGAGCCGGCAACCCCGCCUGCCAUGAGGGAGAAAGACACGGACGGGGUGAGCGCAGAAAGGAGCUCCGCCCCCUGCACCGCAGCUGAGGGUGAGCUGGAUAUGGUGCACCAAAAGGGCCAAAAUGAGGAAGUGGAUCUUAUAGACUGGGAAUCGGAACUGGAAGUUGAACUGCCCCCUCUUCUCUCUCCGCCGUCUCCGUUGGUCCCAACCAGCCCUCCUUCGUCUUUGGUUUCCUCCUCCAGCCCUGAGGGGGCUUCCAGUUCUCCAGUGCCUGCUCCUAGAAUGUGUCUUCCAGUGCCAGCUCCUAGAAUGUGUCCUCCAGUGCCAGCUCCUAGAAUGUGUCCUCCUGUGGCCGCUCCUCCAAAAUGCCUGCCCUCCCACCCGCUCCUGCCUCCUCCACCUCUGUCAUCUGGCAGCCCCUCUGCUCGCCCUCAGUCCACCAUUAUUGUGGUGCGAGCUCCGCGAGACUGCCAUCCUCCAGAGUCGCCGUGGUUGGCGUCUCCCUCACCUCCGCCUCCUGCCUCCGAGGCCUGGACUCCACCUCGACCCAUCAGCUCCACCAUGGCUCCUAGCUCCCUCCUCUCCGCUGUGGCCCAGCUGUACACAAGCUCCGCCUGGCUCCCUCGUCCCUCUGGCUCCGCCUUGGUCUGGCGUCGAACGUCCUGCUCCUCGGGACUCCACUUCUCUGGCUUCCCCUCAUCCCUCCAUCACUCUGGCUCCGUCAGGCUCCUUCAUCCCCUCGGCUCCACCUCAGUCCUCUGUCCACCGUGGCCUCCCGGAUCCACAUCUCCACAUCGGUCGCCGGUGCCAUCAGUUCUGCCUAGGAUCUCUGGAUCCUCCCUGUCACCUUGAAUCUUUGGCUCUCCGCCUCGGGCUCCUCCU